UACAGAGGUCCCAAGCGUUGUUCGGAUUCAUUGGGCGUAAAGGGUGCGUAGGUGGCGCCGUAAGUGGGUGUGAAAUUUCGGAGCUUAACUCCGAAACUGCAUUCCAUACUGCGGUGCUUGAGGACUGGAGAGGAGACUGGAAUUUACGGUGUAGCAGUGAAAUGCGUAGAGAUCGUAAGGAAGACCAGUGGCGAAGGCGGGUCUCUGGACAGUUCCUGACACUGAGGCACGAAGGCCAGGGGAGGCAAACGGG
rnacentral:rRNA from 1 species